GGCGGAGUAUCCGAAUGGCACAGGAAGCAGACUUAAAAUCUGUCGGCUUAAUCGCUUACGGGUUCGAAUCCCGUCUCCGCUA
rnacentral:tRNA from 1 species